CGGGGUGCACCAGGCGCGAAAACUUUACAAUGCGGGAAACCGUGAUAAGGGGACACCGAGUGCCAGCAUCAUAUGCUGGCUGUCCAGGUGUGUAAAAUACACCUGUUAGCAAGGGCCGGGCAAGACCGGUGCCAGCCGCCGCGGUAACACCGGCGGCCCGAGUGGUGAUCGUGAUUAUUGGGUCUAAAGGGUCCGUAGCCGGUUUGGUCAGUCCUCCGGGAAAUCUGACGGCUCAACCGUUAGGCUUUCGGGGGAUACUGCCAGGCUUGGAACCGGGAGAGGUAAGAGGUACUACAGGGGUAGGAGUGAAAUCUUGUAAUCCCUGUGAGACCACCUGUGGCGAAGGCGUCUUACCAGAACGGGUUCGACGGUGAGGGACGAAAGCUGGGGGCACGAACCGGAUUAGAUACCCGGGUAGUCCCAGCCGUAAACGAUGCUCGCUAGGUGUCAGGCAUGGCGCGACCGUGUCUGGUGCCGCAGGGAAGCCGUGAAGCGAGCCACCUGGGAAGUACGGCCGCAAGGCUGAAACUUAAAGGAAUUGGCGGGGGAGCACAAGGG
rnacentral:rRNA from 1 species